GAUGAACGCUGGCGGCGUGCCUAAUACAUGCAAGUCGAGCGAACAGACGAGGAGCUUGCUCCUCUGACGUUAGCGGCGGACGGGUGAGUAACACGUGGAUAACCUACCUAUAAGACUGGGAUAACUUCGGGAAACCGGAGCUAAUACCGGAUAAUAUAUUGAACCGCAUGGUUCAAUAGUGAAAGACGGUUUUGCUGUCACUUAUAGAUGGAUCCGCGCCGCAUUAGCUAGUUGGUAAGGUAACGGCUUACCAAGGCAACGAUGCGUAGCCGACCUGAGAGGGUGAUCGGCCACACUGGAACUGAGACACGGUCCAGACUCUUACGGGAGGCAGCAGUAGGGAAUCUUCCGCAAUGGGCGAAAGCCUGACGGAGCAACGCCGCGUGAGUGAUGAAGGUCUUCGGAUCGUAAAACUCUGUUAUUAGGGAAGAACAAAUGUGUAAGUAACUAUGCACGUCUUGACGGUACCUAAUUAGAAAGCCACGGCUAACUACGUG
rnacentral:rRNA from 1 species